rnacentral:lncRNA from 1 species
GUGCUCCGCAUGACAGCAUACAAUUCCAUAUCUGGACAUGAAUAUAAGCAUGUACAUAUUCCUUGUAUUUGACGGUAGAUGACACGCUAUGUUACCCCUUGUAUUUGACCAAUUCCUGAUUGCAUGCCAUCCACCGUGCAUCUACCCCGUGAGAGGAGGUUCCUGCUUUGAGUUUAGAGUAAGUUUAUUUUUAAAUGUUAAUAUUUUGAGAACAUAUUUGUAUAGAUUUUGUGCUUCUUUUUUCUU